rnacentral:rRNA from 1 species
UAGGGAAUCUUCGGCAAUGGACGGAANNNUGGACCGAGCAACGCCGCGUGAGUGAAGAAGGUUUUCGGAUCGUAAAGCUCUGUUGUAAGAGAAGAACGAGUGUGAGAGUGGAAAGUUCACACUGUGACGGUAUCUUACCAGAAAGGGACGGCUAACUACGUGCCAGCAGCCGCGGUANNACGUAGGUCCCGAGCGUUGUCCGGAUUUAUUGGGCGUAAAGCGAGCGCAGGCGGUUAGAUAAGUCUGAAGUUAAAGGCUGUGGCUUAACCAUAGUAGGCUUUGGAAACUGUUUAACUUGAGUGCAAGAGGGGAGAGUGGAAUUCCAUGUGUAGCGGUGAAAUGCGUAGAUAUAUGGAGGAACACCGGUGGCGAAAGCGGCUCUCUGGCUUGUAACUGACGCUGAGGCUCGAAAGCGUGGGGAGCAAACAGGAUUAGAUACCCUGGUAGUCCACGCUGUAAACGAUGAGUGCUAGGUGUUAGACCCUUUCCGGGGUUUAGUGCCGUAGCUAACGCAUUAAGCACUCCGCCUGGGGAGUACGACCGCAAGUUG